ACUUGUUUCUAUGCUCUGGUUCGGGAACUGCCAAACACGAAGCGAAACGCCGAUAUCCUGAAUCCAAUCCGGUGAAGUCUAAAAUAGACCGAGCCGCUUCAUGUGUAGCUAAGACGCUAGAGCCUUCCUCCGUCUUCCAUACAUGCAGUCCUGCAGCUGUCAUCGCAGUGAUGCUUUGACCUUAACGGGUGCCUGCCUGCUUCCCUGCGCAACCCGUAAAGCUCAAGUGCUGACUUCAAUAUUCGACUCAUUAUAAAUUAAUAGAACAGUAAUUAGUGUAAAAGCCAGUCUGAGUCAUAAAUAUGUAAAAAAAUGAAAUAAAAAACACAGUUCUCCA